UUUUGAAUAGUUCAUCAGGUAGAACAAUCGACAAGGAAUCGAUAUGUGGUAGGUUCGAGUCCUACUUCAAAAACCA
rnacentral:tRNA from 1 species